rnacentral:rRNA from 1 species
AGAGUUUGAUCCUGGCUCAGGAUGAACGCUGGCGGCGUGCUUAACACAUGCAAGUCGAACGAACCUUCGGGUUAGUGGCGGACGGGUGAGUAACGCGUGAGAAUCUGCCCUCAGGAGGGGGAUAACAGUUGGAAACGACUGCUAAUACCCCAUAUGCCGAGAGGUGAAAUGAAUUUCGCCUGGGGAUGAGCUCGCGUCUGAUUAGCUUGUUGGUGGGGUAAUAGCCUACCAAGGCUUCGAUCAGUAGCUGGUCUGAGAGGACGAUCAGCCACACUGGGACUGAGACUCGGCCCAGACUCCUACGGGAGGCAGCAGUGGGGAAUUUUCCGCAAUGGGCGAAAGCCUGACGGAGCAACGCCGCGUGAGGGAUGGAGGCCUUUGGGCUGUAAACCUCUUUUCUCAAGGAAGAAGAUCUGACGGUACUUGAGGAAUAAGCCACGGCUAAUUCCGUGCCAGCAGCCGCGGUAAUACGGGAGUGGCAAGCGUUAUCCGGAAUUAUUGGGCGUAAAGCGUCCGCAGGCGGCCGUUUAAGUCUGUUGUUAAAUCGUGGAGCUCAACUCCAUCACGGCAAUGGAAACUGUUCGGCUUGAGUAUGGUAGGGGCAGAGGGAAUUUCCGGUGUAGCAGUGAAAUGCGUAGAUAUCGGGAAGAACACCAGUGGCGAAAGCGCUCUGCUGGGCCAUUACUGACGCUCAUGGACGAAAGCCAGGGGAGCGAAAGGGAUUAGAUACCCCUGUAGUCCCGGCCGUAAACGAUGAACACUAGAUGUUGGGGGAAUCGACCCCCUCGGUGUCGUAGCUAACGCGUUAAGUGUUCCGCCUGGGGAGUACGCACGCAAGUGUGAAACUCAAAGGAAUUGACGGGGGCCCGCACAAGCGGUGGAGUAUGUGGUUUAAUUCGAUGCAACGCGAAGAACCUUACCAAGGCUUGACAUCCUGCGAAUCUCUAAGAAAUUAGAGAGUGCCUUCGGGAACGCAGUGACAGGUGGUGCAUGGCUGUCGUCAGCUCGUGUCGUGAGAUGUUGGGUUAAGUCCCGCAACGAGCGCAACCCACGUUUUUAGUUGCCAGCAUUCAGUUGGGCACUCUAGAAAGACUGCCGGUGACAAACCGGAGGAAGGUGUGGACGACGUCAAGUCAUCAUGCCCCUUACGCCUUGGGCUACACACGUACUACAAUGCUGCGGACAAAGAGUAGCGAUCUUGCGAAAGUUAGCUAAUCUCAUAAACCGUGGCUCAGUUCAGAUCGUAGGCUGCAACUCGCCUACGUGAAGGAGGAAUCGCUAGUAAUCGCAGGUCAGCAUACUGCGGUGAAUACGUUCCCGGGCCUUGUACACACCGCCCGUCACACCAUGGAAGUUGGCCAUGCCCGAAGUCGUUACUCUAACCUUUUGGAAGAGGGCGCCGAAGGCAGGGCUAAUGACUGGGGUGAAGUCGUAACAAGGUAACC